rnacentral:rRNA from 1 species
ACGCUUUUUACUUUAGCUUGCUAGAGUAGAAGGAGUUGCGAACGGGUGAGUAACGCGUAGGUAACCUACCUACUAGCGGGGGAUAACUAUUGGAAACGAUAGCUAAUACCGCAUAAGAGUGUUUAACACAUGUUAGAAGCUUGAAAGAUGCAAAUGCAUCACUAGUAGAUGGACCUGCGUUGUAUUAGCUAGUUGGUGGGGUAAUGGCUUACCAAGGCGACGAUACAUAGCCGACCUGAGAGGGUGAACGGCCACACUGGGACUGAGACACGGCCCAGACUCCUACGGGAGGCAGCAGUAGGGAAUCUUCGGCAAUGGGGGCAACCCUGACCGAGCAACGCCGCGUGAGUGAAGAAGGUUUUCGGAUCGUAAAGCUCUGUUGUAAGAGAAGAACGAGUGUGAGAGUGGAAAGUUCACACAGUGACGGUAACUUACCAGAAAGGGACGGCUAACUACGUGCCAGCAGCCGCGGUAAUACGUAGGUCCCGAGCGUUGUCCGGAUUUAUUGGGCGUAAAGCGAGCGCAGGCGGUUUAAUAAGUCUGAAGUUAAAGGCAGUGGCUUAACCAUUGUUCGCUUUGGAAACUGUUAAACUUGAGUGCAGAAGGGGAGAGUG